AUUACGCUAAGUCAACUUUUAAUAAAUGACUUAGGGACCUGGAAGAAAUAGGGAGAUAACAAGAAAACUUGAAUAAAACCCUUUCCUUCCAAA